UACGAGGGGGGCAAAUGUUGUUCGGAAUCACUGGGCGUAAAGGGAGCGUAGGCGGGUUCUUAAGUUAGGUGUUUAAUCCCGGGGCCCAACCCCGGACCGGCACUUAAAACUGGGAAUCUUGAAUAGUGGAGAGGUCAGUGGAAUUGGGGGUGUAGCGGUGGAAUGCGUAGAGAUCCCCAAGAACACGAGUUGCGAAGGCGGCUGACUGGACACAUAGUGACGCUGAGGCUCGAAAGCAUGGGGAGCAAACAGG
rnacentral:rRNA from 1 species